CAAAUUCUCUUCUCCAAGCCCAGUCGAAGCUUAAAGGGACAACAACACCCUCCUCCCAGCCCCAGCGAAGCCUCCGGAAGGGUUGGGAACAGACCUCCAGGGCCAGCGGGAGCUCCCAUUCCCUCUGCCUUGCGGGGGCCCCACAAGCAUUUCUGCCACAGGCCCAGACGCCAGCCUGUGAUCUCCGGGAAGGGCACCCCCAAAUGAGGCCUGCGCCCCCACAGAGAGGAGCUGAUGGCUGGGGCUCCCUCCUCAUGCUCUGUAGAUGAUGACAAGACCCCCGACUUGGCUCAUCGUAGUAAUCAAAUCUUCAAGGGUCGAACUCAGAGUUAUUUCAAACCUAAGGUGGAAGGGAAAAGGAAGAGUGUCCAGUUGGACCAGUCUGGUAGCCAGUGACUGAAGACAGGCUGGUGCCCUGCCUGGAAGGUCGGAGCGAGGCACAGGCACGAGGCAGGCCACGUCUCAGCCACAUGCGGAAAGCUUGUUGUGACUUAACCAAAGAGAAAACAGGAGGAAAACACAGUCUGGAGGAGCAUUAGAAAUGCGGCAGCUCCCACCUUAGCGGAAACUGCUAAGAUUUCUAAGGAGCAGCCUUCAAAUCUUGCAGCCUUCAAGCAGAGCUCUGGGCUCAGGGCCUCGUGGAGCUCUCUGUCCAGGGACCUCAGGCAGCUCACACACUCCUUGGGGGAGUCUCUUGCCCUGGAGUCAUCUGCUCUGUUUCACGAUAAAACUGCC
rnacentral:lncRNA from 1 species